UUUGAAUGGUUUUUUCCUUUGUCGUUUCAAUAGGGUUUGAGAAGAAAAAUCCGAUGCUGGAUACUGCUCUACUGGGGCUACUUGGUUGGUUAAGGACACUUGCGUGAGAAAAUCCAUGCUGGACGCAGUGGGGAAAUCAUAACAGGAAAACAAAUGUGUCAUCUGAAUACCACAAUGGGAAAUGAGAGGUUGCAUGAUGCUUUUUGCUCGAUUUUCACUUUUCUUUCGUCUUUGUGACGAAAUCUAGUCAAAGAAUAUCGAAACUGGUGAAGUAUAGUCUAUUGUCUCAACUCUCAAGUAUUAUAACUAUACAUGAAUGCUGUUCAAGAAGAACAAUUCUUAUAGCAGUGCCUUUCAAUCAAAUAUAUAUAUUUGCACUGCGCUUUCCUUAAUUAUGAAGUUGAACCGAAGAAGAAAAUAUAGGUUCAUUGAUCAUUCAUUAUUUGUAACUAAACUGGACUAGAAUAGGACGAAUCUAAAACAGAAACAGAAACUGGCCAGUUUGAGUUCGCUAGGAACCAAACGAGCUUUAUCUGAGAAUAUUCCAAAUCGAGACUGCACCAUUGAAAAGGUAAUCUUAAUAUCUCACCAAUUACAAUUGUCUUUACAUAAAUUUCACUGGAAAUAUGAAAUCUUUUGACAAGAGUAACAAAUACAUAGCAGUACUGGGAGGUAAAAUUAAUGUCCCAAGAUCUAUCUGCUUUUGAUUGAGAAAUCGUACAUAAAUGCGUAACAUACAAAAGGGAACGAACUAAUAAGGCGCAAUGAACCAAAUGAGAAUAUACACAAAAAUACAAUAUUUUCUGAUCAACCAGGAAAAUGCAUCUUACACCAACAAAUUGAAGUAAAAGCAUAUUGCAAACCAUUCAAUUCUGCACCAAGAAGGAAUCCAAAAGAUAUGCAUGCCCCAACGAUGGUAAGUGUUAUUAGAAUCCUCUCACGACAUGUUCAAUAUGGUGGAAUAGCACUUCACAGUAUUGAAAAGUGUUUUGUACCAAACAUUUUCUCUGUUUGAAUAGAUGUCCAUUUUCUUCACAGGUGGAUACGGAGCACAGAGUAUUGAUUUACACUUGUGUACUAGCAAGACGUCUCCAGUGUCCCACACGAGGUCC
rnacentral:lncRNA from 1 species